rnacentral:misc_RNA from 1 species
UGAUGAUUCCUAUCAAUUACAAUGCAAAGGGCUAUUUAUAUCAUUCACUAACUAUUUAGUCAUAGCAUAGGAUUUUCUAUGUGCUUCUCUAUUGAAUAUUAACUGUUGAGGUUAGACUGUCAUUGUCUUAAACUUCAAGUAUUCUGUGUGUUGUGUACAUAUGUUUUCUUUUUCUUUUUUCUUUUUCUUCUUUAUACUCUGAACAUUUUUGUCUCAGCUUCUGAAUGCUUAACAUCUUAAAGGGUGAUGCGCAAGUGUAUUUCAACGGUGCAUGAAAAAAAUUUGGUCCUAAAUGGAACAGCCUGGAGUGUGAAAAGAUCAUUGAACUGGCCUCGGGUAGAUUGGGAUCAAGGGUUAUUUGAUGUGCUUGUCUUUGAAAUGUUACGCACUUCUCGUAAAAAUAUAAAAUUUAUUUAGCAGACAGAGACAGAGAAAAGUUGGUUUUAGUAUUUUAUGCUGAAAAUACAUGGUUUGGGUUGCCCUCUCUAAAGUUCUUUCCUUUGAAUUUUCUCCAUCUUUAGAGUUAAAUUUGAAUGUUAAAAAUUGUCUGCAUAGGUGCUACAAGUACGUCAGCUUCU